ensembl:scaRNA SCARNA13 small Cajal body-specific RNA 13
UCCCCGCAGCCUUGUGAAGCUUCCCCUUGCAUAGACCGUUGCCUGUGGGUACAACAAGGUUGCAGAAAGCAACCCAGGGAAUGAAAAGGCGUGACUCCUGGAGUCUCAGGAGCUUUCACGUGCGAUGUUCCUUGGACAGAGUCCUGCUUCCCACGGCGGUGAUGGACUCAUUCUGUGUCCGUCACCUUAUCUUGAGGCAGGCAGAGUAGAAACAUGGCAGCCAGAAUCAGUCUGUCUGAAUCAGGGUAAGCUCUUCCUGUCAGACACUCUCUGCUGUCACAGCA